UACCUACUGUUGCUUCGGCGGGAUUGCCCCGGGCGCCUCGUGUGCCCCGGAUCAGGCGCCCGCCUAGGAAACUUAACUCUUGUUUUAUUUUGGAAUCUUCUGAGUAGUUUUUACAAAUAAAUAAAAACUUUCAACAACGGAUCUCUUGGUUCUGGCAUCGAUGAAGAACGCAGCGAAAUGCGAUAAGUAAUGUGAAUUGCAGAAUUCAGUGAAUCAUCGAAUCUUUGAACGCACAUUGCGCCCGCCAGUAUUCUGGCGGGCAUGCCUGUCUGAGCGUCAUUUCAACCCUCAUGCCCCUAGGGCGUGGUGUUGGGGAUCGGCCAAAGCCCGCGAGGGACGGCCGGCCCCUAAAUCUAGUGGCGGACCCGUCGUGGCCUCCUCUGCGAAGUAGUGAUAUUCCGCAUCGGAGAGCGAUGAGCCCCUGCCGUUAAACCCCCAACUUUCCAAGGUUGACCUCAGAUCAGGUAGGAAUACCCGCUGAACUUAAGCAUAUCA
rnacentral:rRNA from 1 species